AAACAAGCGUCUGAACGACAGUGACGAGAGUAUUGGAACUCCAACUUCCUGUCAAAAUGGCUGAGAGAAAGUCACAAAACAAGUACUACCCCCCUGACUGGGACCCCAGCAAGGGCUCGGUCAAUAAACAUUUUGGUCAACACCCCCUCCGUGACAGAGCAAAGAAGAUUUCACAGGGCAUUCUUGUCAUCAGAUUUGAAAUGCCCUACAACAUCUGGUGCGGGGGCUGCAACAGUCACAUAGGAAUGGGGGUGCGAUACAAUGCAGAGAAGAAGAAAGUUGGAAAUUACUAUUCCACUCCAAUCUGGCAAUUCCGAAUGAAAUGUCAUCUAUGUGAUAAUUAUUUUGAAAUCCAAACAGAUCCACAGCACCAUGACUAUGUAAUCACUAGUGGAGCCAGGAGGAAAGAACAAAGAUGGAAGCCUGAAGAAAAUGAACAAAUUGCAACAGAAGGUAUGUGAGGGUAUUCAACUGUGGCUCUGUAGGCUUGCUUUGUUGUGGAUGUUGUAAAAGAUCAUCUUCAUUUACAUCAUUAAUGAUGUUGCAAAGUUCUUGAGAACUUUAUGUUAUUUCUAUCAACAGCUCCAAUAGAGCUAAUGUGUGUUGACUUACUUUCAAGAUUACAUUGUUGCUAAAUUGAGGUUUAUUGAAAUACAUGUAAUAUAUUGCAAACCAGGAAAAAAUUUACCGUUUCUAUAUUCUUAUGUUUCAAAUAACUGGUGUGUGUGUCCAAAAUAAACUGCUUUUAAAUAUUAAGUUCAGUGCUAAUUGAUGUGACUUUUUAAAGAGAAAUUCAUUCAGUAAUUACUGAGAUGAAUAUGGAUAUUACUGCAGAUGAUUCCAACUAGAACCAUUUUAACAAGACCUUGGACUUUCAGUAGGACGUAACUAUCUACCGGUAUUUCUUGCAUCAAAACAAGUUAAAGAUGAUGCUGGUUUCAAGCGAAUUAUGCAACAAUUGCAUAGUCUUAGCUCAAAAGCCACACAAAUCUUGUUGAUUUCAAAGAGCUAUGGUUAAGGGGCUAUCAAUGAAAUAGAUAAGCUUUCAUCACAUUGCUGUUUGACACAACUACCCAAUAUCCAAGCAGUUAGACCUUUUUAAAAGGGUUCUAAAAUGCGGUUCAAUCUUCACUACUUUUUUCCUGAUCAUUUAGUUGCCUCAUAUUAUGCUUUGCAGUUUAAGUAAAACUGGUUUUUAAAAAAUGAUUUUCAGACAAAGCAGUUAUAAAGAAGAUGGCCAACGACCCGAUGUUUAAAUUGGAGCACACAAGUGAUGAUGUCAAGAAAUCCUCCAGCGUCCAGCUCAGCGUCGGUCAGUUAGAGAAGAAGAGGAGUGAAUUUCAGGAUGACUAUAGUCUCAACAAGCUGGCCAGGAGUAAAUUCAGGGAAGAAAAGAAAGCCCAAAAGAAGACACAGAUGGAGGAUAAGGAACUGCUACAGAAAUCCUCCCUCAAUAUCAGCCUGUUGCCAAAGUCAGAGCAGGACACCAAACUGGCCUCACUCCUGAAGUACAAGUCCUUGGAGACUUAUGAUGAAAAACAAGCAGAGAGGAGGAGAGAGAUUGAGUCUCAGACUAUCUUCCAGCAAUCAUCCAACAAAGGAAAAGAUCUUGUGAGGCACAAACUUGCGGCUUCUAACAGCAAAAAUCUUGGGUUUACAACUGAAGCAAUAAAUUUCAAAACUCUAAAGGAGACUCAAAGAUUGCUUGGAAUACAGCGGAGAAAUAAAAAGAAUGCUCUUAGUAAACAGCAAUCUUUAAAAACACAAACUCUCAACAAAAACAGUGAUUGUCAAGAGAGACUGACAGCUGACAAAGGCAGUGUUAGAGACAGUGAUUGUCAAGCACCUGACAGUGAUAUGAACAGUGAUUGUCCAUUAAAGCUUGACACGGACAGAGACAGCACCAGUGAGAGAGGCUUUAGUACAGGUCUAUCCAGCAGUGAAGGUGUUAAAACCACGGGGGCCUCAAACAUGGAUCAGUCUACAGACUCUUUAGACAUAUCGACAAAUGUAUCAACCUGUUCCAUCAAUACAUCUAGUCUCAGUCUUGUUGGAGUAUACCAGAAUAGUGAUUCGGAAUGUGAUUCCACAUAAAAUUAUGAAAGUUUU
rnacentral:misc_RNA from 1 species